rnacentral:rRNA from 1 species
UACGUAGGAUGCAAGCGUUGUCCGGAAUUAUUGGGCGUAAAGAGCGCGCAGGCGGUCUAUCAAGUCAGAUGUGAAAUAUCCCGGCUUAACCGGGAGGGGUCAUUUGAAACUGGUAGACUAGAGUACAGCAGAGGAUAGCGGAAUUCCCGGUGUAGUGGUGAAAUGCGUAGAUAUCGGGAGGAACACCAGUGGCGAAGGCGGUUCUCUGGGCAUGUUCUGACGCUGAGGAGCGAAAGUGUGGGGAGCGAACAGG